ensembl:lncRNA
GGAGGCUAUAUACAGGGGGUACCGGUACAGAGUCAAUGUGGAGGCUAUAUACAGGGGGUACCGGUACAGAGUCAAUGUGGAGGCUAUAUACAGGGGGUAACGGUACAGAGUCAAUGUGGAGGCUAUAUACAGGGGGUACCGGUACAGAGUCAAUGUGGAGGCUAUAUACAGGGGGUACCGGUACAGAGUCAAUGUGGAGGCUAUAUACAGGGGGUGCCGGUACAGAGUCAAUGUGGAGGCUAUAUACAGGGGGUACUGGUACAGAGUCAAUGUGGAGGCUAUAUACAGGGGGUACCGGUACAGAGUCAAUGUGGAGGCUAUAUACAGGGGGUACCGGUACAGAGUCAAUGUGGAGGCUAUAUACAGGGGGGUACCGGUACAGAGUCAAUGUGGAGGCUAUAUACAGGGGGUACCGGUACAGAGUCAAUGUGGAGGCUAUAUACAGGGUAUUACGGUACAGAGUCAAUGUGGAGGCUAUAUACAGGGGGUACCGGUACAGAGUCAAUGUGGAGGCUAUAUACAGGGUAUUACGGUACAGAGUCAAUGUGGAGGCUAUAUACAGGGGUACCAGUACAGAGUCAAUGUGGAGGCUAUAUACAGGGGGUACCAGUACAGAGUCAAUGUGGAGGCUAUAUACAGGGGGUACCGGUACAGAGUCAAUGUGGAGGCUAUAUACAGGGGGUACCAGUACAGAGACAAUGUGGAGGCUAUAUACAGGGGGUACCGGUACAGAGACAAUGUGGAGGCUAUAUACAGGGGGUACCGGUACAGAGACAAUGUGGAGGCUAUAUACAGGGGGUACAGGUACAGAGACAAUGUGGAGGCUAUAUACAGGGGGUACCGGUACAGAGUCAAUGUGGAGGCUAUAUACAGGGGGUACUGGUACAGAGUCACUGUGGAGGCUAUAUACAGGGGGUACCGGUACAGAGUCAAUGUGUCGAGGUAAUUGAGAUAAUUAUGUACAUGUAGGUAGAGUUAUUAAAGUGACUAUGCAUAGAUAAUAACAGAGUAGCAGCAGCAUAGAAGGGGGGGGGGGCAAUGCAAAUAGUCUGGGUAGCCAUUUGAUUAGAUGUUCAGGAUUCUUAUGGCUUGGGUGUAGAAGCAGUUUAGAAGCCUCUUGGACCUAGACUUGGCCCUCCGGUGAUGUACUUGGCCGUACACACUACCCUCUGUAGUGCCUUGCGUUCUGAGACAAUUGCCAUACCAGGCAGUGAUGCAACCCGUCAGGAUGCUCUCGAU